UCUCUCCACAGGACUUGCUGGAUUGGUCCUUACUGAGUCACCAACCUCAACUCCACUUGUGCCUUCAGCACUUUCAUUCAAUGGCAGAGGCAGCUCCAAUGUAUCAACACAAAGAGAAAAGUGGAGGCAAUGCGGCAGCCAUUUUUUAAAUAUCACCUUUCAAACUGAGAUGGUUGCAAACGUGUCCAAUGUCACGAUGUGUUAAUGCACUGAAUUUGAAGAUGAACCUGGUGUGAAGCCACUAUGACAGAACUGCAUGGGCUCAUUUCAACUUCUCUGUUCUGCUGGGAUUCGGUUUACUCGACAACUGAAAAAAUCUUCACAUUUGAAGGAUACAGAAAGUUCUUGUCAUUUUUAAAAUAGCAACAUGAAUUGUUUUUUCAUUAAAUACAUGUACAA